GACGAACGCUGGCGGCGUGCCUAAUACAUGCAAGUCGAGCGAGCUUGCCUAGAUGAAUUUGGUGCUUGCACCAAAUGAAACUAGAUACAAGCGAGCGGCGGACGGGUGAGUAACACGUGGGUAACCUGCCCAAGAGACUGGGAUAACACCUGGAAACAGAUGCUAAUACCGGAUAACAACACUAGACGCAUGUCUAGAGUUUAAAAGAUGGUUCUGCUAUCACUCUUGGAUGGACCUGCGGUGCAUUAGCUAGUUGGUAAGAUAACGGCUUACCAAGGCAAUGAUGCAUAGCCGAGUUGAGAGACUGAUCGGCCACAUUGGGACUGAGACACGGCCCAAACUCCUACGGGAGGCAGCAGUAGGGAAUCUUCCACAAUGGACGCAAGUCUGAUGGAGCAACGCCGCGUGAGUGAAGAAGGGUUUCGGCUCGUAAAGCUCUGUUGGUAGUGAAGAAAGAUAGAGGUAGUAACUGGCCUUUAUUUGACGGUAAUUACUUAGAAAGUCACGGCUAACUACGUGCCAGCAGCCGCGGUAAUACGUAGGUGGCAAGCGUUGUCCGGAUUUAUUGGGCGUAAAGCGAGUGCAGGCGGUUCAAUAAGUCUGAUGUGAAAGCCUUCGGCUCAACCGGAGAAUUGCAUCAGAAACUGUUGAACUUGAGUGCAGAAGAGGAGAGUGGAACUCCAUGUGUAGCGGUGGAAUGCGUAGAUAUAUGGAAGAACACCAGUGGCGAAGGCGGCUCUCUGGUC
rnacentral:rRNA from 1 species